AUACCCCUACGGGACGCAGCAGUGGGGAAUAUUGCACAAUGGGGGAAACCCUGAUGCAGCGACGCCGCGUGAGCGAUGAAGUAUUUCGGUAUGUAAAGCUCUAUCAGCAGGGAAGAAAAUGACGGUACCUGACUAAGAAGCCCCGGCUAACUACGUGCCAGCAGCCGCGGUAAUACGUAGGGGGCAAGCGUUAUCCGGAUUUACUGGGUGUAAAGGGAGCGUAGGCGGUGCGGCAAGUCAGAAGUGAAAGCCCGGGGCUCAACUUCGGGACUGCUUUUGAAACUGUUGAACUAGAUUGCAGGAGG
rnacentral:rRNA from 1 species